rnacentral:rRNA from 1 species
ACGAACGCUGGCGGCGUGCUUAACCCCUUCAAGUCGAACGGAAAGGCCCUGCUUUUGUGGGGUGCUCGCGUGGCGAACGGGUGAGUAACACGUGAGUAACCUGCCCUCGACUUUGGGAUAACUUCAGGAAACUGGGGCUAAUACCGGAUAGGAGCUCCUGCUGCAUGGUGGGGGUUGGAAAGUUUCGGCGGUUGGGGAUGGACUCGCGGCUUAUCAGCUUGUUGGUGGGGUAGUGGCUUACCAAGGCUUUGACGGGUAGCCGGCCUGAGAGGGUGACCGGCCACAUUGGGACUGAGAUACGGCCCAGACUCCUACGGGAGGCAGCAGUGGGGAAUAUUGCACAAUGGGCGGAAGCCUGAUGCAGCAACGCCGCGUGCGGGAUGACGGCCUUCGGGUUGUAAACCGCUUUCGCCUGUAACGAAGCGUGAGUGACGGUAAUGGGUAAAGAAGCACCGGCUAACUACGUG